CUCAGGGAAACUUGAGCUAAUACCGGCUAAGCCCUUCGGGGGAAAGAUUUAUCGCCAUUAGAGCGGCCCGCGUCUGAUUAGCUAGUUGGUGGGGUAAAGGCCCACCAAGGCGACGAUCAGUAGCUGUCUGAGAGGAUGAUCAGCCACAUUGGGACUGAGACACGGCCCAAACUCCUACGGGAGGCAGCAAGUGGGGAAUCUUGCGCAAUGGCGAAGCUGACGCAGCCAUGCCGCGUGAAUGAUGAAGGUCUUAGGAUUGUAAAAUUCUUUCACCGGGGACGAUAAUGACGGUACCCGGAGAAGAAGCCCCGGCUAACUUCGUGCCAGCAGCCGCGGUAAUACGAAGGGGGCUAGCGUUGCUCGGAAUUACUGGGCGUAAAGGGAGCGUAGGCGGACUGUUAAGUUAGAGGUGAAAAGCCCAGGGCUCAACCUUGGAAUUGCCUUUGAUACUGGCAGUCUUGAGUACGGAAGAGGUAUGUGGAACUCCGAGUGUAGAGGUGAAAUUCGUAG
rnacentral:rRNA from 1 species